CUACCCUCCAGAACUACGUCAUCGUGACUCCCGUCUACAACACUGUGCACGUUCGCUCACAAUGUGCCUGUGAAGCGCAGUGCCGUACGAACGACACCUGCACGGCCGUGACUUACGAUGCCGUGAGCGACGUCUGCUUCCUCAGCAACGCAACUGGGAGCUCCUUGACGACGCGGCACCUGCUCGAGGCGGUCACCUACACCAAGUUCUCGUACGUUCCCGCC